rnacentral:tRNA from 5 species
GGGGCCGUAGCUCAGUUGGGAGAGCGCUUGAAUGGCAUUCAAGAGGUCGAGGGUUCGAUUCCCUUCGGCUCCACCA